AGACGUCUACAUUAGAUACCCGCGUAGUCCCAGCCGUAAACUAUGCGCGUUAGGUGUAUCGGUGACCACGAGUCACCGAGGUGCCGAAGGGAAACCGUGAAACGUGCCGCCUGGGAAGUACGGUCGCAAGGCUGAAACUUAAAGGAAUUGGCGGGGGAGCACCACAACAGGUGGAGCCUGCGGUUUAAUUGGACUCAACGCCGGGAAGCUCACCGGAUAGGACAGCAGAAUGAUUGCCGGGCUGAAGACUCUGCAUGACUAGCUG
rnacentral:rRNA from 1 species